rnacentral:lncRNA from 1 species
UAAUUCCAGUGUUUUCCAACAAUUCAAACAAUCAAUCUAUACCGAUUCAACAACAACAACGUCAACAACCGCAACAAAGAACCAACAACAACAACAACAAUAAUCAACAACAAAGUUUUGAGAGGAAGAAGGUCUCCUUUGACCCUAUUCAUAUACCUACGCAGAAUUAUAUCCAUCUUUGGUUCUCAAGAACCUAAUUCAACCUAGAAAUCCAC